GACCCAUUGGUGUCGAAAAGUUGCUUCUCUUCUUAUUCGUUCAAGCUCUGAUGUCUCUCCAUACCAAAGGUAUCAUAGACUUCAACUCUUAUCCAUCUAUGAAAACUCGCCUCAAUUAGGAGAUUGGAAAGGACUUCGUUCAACUUUAUCUUAGAUGAAUUUGAUUUGCCUUUUAUGAGUUGUGAUAUCUAUCUUUUUUUUAUUUUACAAGCCAUCUUUAUCUGGGAACUUUCAUUCUUCCGAUGAGCCAAGGAAUGUUGUUUUCGACGAUGGGUGGGUUGGUGGUUUCGAUUGAACUCGUCGAUUUCAGUGAAUUUUCAACAGAGAGAAGGUUUAUCAGGCGAAUUUCACCGUGACGGUGACCAACAGCAGCAGUAAUGGUGUUUUACCAGAGAGCAUUAGCCGGAACUGAUCACAAGGGUUGAAUUUUAGUCAGUGGUUCGCUGAUUUUGCAGAUCCGGUGAGGGACAGGCUUGACCAUCGUUUUUAUGAAUUUUUCGGUGAUGUGGUAGCAGCGGGUCAGUGUAUUCCGAUGAGAUUUUUAUAAAAUAUAAUUUUUACAGUAUAGAUAUGUAUUUUUAUUUGUAUUUGUAUUUGUAUUUAUAUUUAUAUUUGGUACUGAUAAGAUUUGUAUUUGUUACAACGUAAAUAUAUAUUUGCAUUUGGUAUUGUAAGAUUUGUAUUUGUUACAGUAUAGAUAUGUAUUUUUUAUUUGUAAUCUUAUAUUUUAUGGAUAAUAUGUUCAUAUAUGUAUUUUUGUCUUU